rnacentral:rRNA from 1 species
UACGAAGGAUGCAAGCGUUAUCCGGAUUUAUUGGGUUUAAAGGGAGCGUAGGCGGUCUUAUAAGUCAGUGGUGAAAUCUCGUUGCUUAACAACGAACGUGCCAUUGAUACUGUAGGACUUGAGUACAGAUGCCGUUGGCGGAAUGUGUCAUGUAGCGGUGAAAUGCAUAGAUAUGACACAGAACACCGAUCGCGAAGGCAGCUAACGAAGCUAGUAUUGACGCUCAGGCACGACAGCAUGGGGAGCAAACAGG